GUAGGGAAUAUUGCACAAUGGGCGAAAGCCUGAUGCAGCAACGCCGCGUGCGCGAUGAAGGUCUUCGGAUCGUAAAGCGCUUUUCGGGGUAAAGAGGAAGGACGGUAACCCCGGAAUAAGUCUCGGCUAACUACGUGCCAGCAGCCGCGGUAAAACGUAGGAGGCAAGCGUUAUCCGAAUUCACUGGGCGUAAAGCGCGUGUAGGCGGUUCGAUAAGUUGGAUGUGAAAUCUCCUGGCUCAACUGGGAGAGGUCGUUCAAUACUGUCGGGCUAGAGGAUGGUAGAGGGAGGUAGAAUUCCCGGUGUAGUAGUGAAAUGCGUAGAUAUCGGGAGGAAUACCUGUGGCGAAAGCGGCCUUCUGGACCAUACCUGACGCUCAGACGCGAAAGCUAGGGGAGCGAACGGGAUUAGAAACCCCUGUAGUCC
rnacentral:rRNA from 1 species